CUUCGGGGCGGGGUGCAAUUCCCCACCGGCGGUAUAGCCCGCGAGCGCACAGCGCAGAACCGGUUGGAUUCCGGUGCCGACAGUACAGUCUGGAUGGAAGAAGUC
rnacentral:ncRNA from 1 species